rnacentral:lncRNA from 1 species
GUGUAUUCUAGCAGAAUUUGUAUCGAUAGGAGAACAUAUUAUUUCCAGUUUGCUUAUUAUUGUUAGCAGAAAAUAACUGAAUAAAUAUUUAGGGAAAAAAUGGACAUGUUUAAUCAUAUGAACAAACUUUCAUUUCUAUACUAUUUUAUUGGUUUUAAAUUUCUUCAUUUCAUUUUCUCACAAAGCAGUUACAUUGUGUUCGGAUAGAGGAAAUUACAGAAAUAUGGCAAGUAGUAAGCGUACAAACAAUUCACAAGGAAAAACAAUGGAAACAGGACACGAUGCAACAGACAAGACAGAGAAAAACUUCGAUUCAG